AAAUAGAUCGAUCGGCGGAUUCGUUCCAAUUGAAUUGGAACUGCUAUGUAGACUUUUGUUUACCGAGGGUUCGAAUCCCUCUCUUUCCG
rnacentral:tRNA from 1 species